rnacentral:rRNA from 1 species
UACGGAGGGAGCUAGCGUUAUUCGGAAUUACUGGGCGUAAAGCGCACGUAGGCGGCUUUGUAAGUUAGAGGUGAAAGCCUGGAGCUCAACUCCAGAAUUGCCUUUAAGACUGCAUCGCUUGAAUCCAGGAGAGGUGAGUGGAAUUCCGAGUGUAGAGGUGAAAUUCGUAGAUAUUCGGAAGAACACCAGUGGCGAAGGCGGCUCACUGGACUGGUAUGACGCUGAGGCGCGAAAGCGUGGGGAGCAAACA